UACAAGAGAUUGACACUGUGCGA
rnacentral:piRNA from 1 species